rnacentral:rRNA from 1 species
CAGUCGCACGGCAGCACGGGAGCAAUCCUGGUGGCGAGUGGCGAACGGGGGCUCGGAACGUGCCCAGUAGUGGGGGAUAACCCGGGAAAGCCGGACUAAUACCGCAUACGACCUACGGGUGAAAGCAGGGGAUCGCAAGACCUUGCGCUAUUGGAGCGGCCGAUGUCAGAUUAGCUUGUUGGCGGGGUAAAAGCCCACCAAGGCGACGAUCUGUAGCUGGUCUGAGAGGACGACCAGCCACACUGGGACUGAGACACGGCCCAGACUCCUACGGGAGGCAGCAGUGGGGAAUUUUGGACAAUGGGCGCAAGCCUGAUCCAGCCAUGCCGCGUGCGGGAAGAAGGCCUUCGGGUUGUAAACCGCUUUUGUCAGGGAAGAAACGCUCCGGGCUAAUAUCCGGAGAAUGACGGUACCUGAAGAAUAAGCACCGGCUAACUACGUGCCAGCAGCCGCGGUAAUACGUAGGUGCAAGCGUUAAUCGGAAUUACUGGGCGUAUAGCGUGCGCAGGCGGCUUUGCAAGACAGAUGUGAAAUCCCCGGGCUUAACCUGGGGAACUGCGUUUGUGACUGCAUGCUAGAGUGCGGCAGAGGGGGAUGGAUU